GGGGGGGACCUGGUGCUGGGAGGAGAGGAAGGGGGAGGGAUGGGGGUGUGGUGUAUAUGUGUGUGUGUGUGUGUGGGGGGGGGUGGUGAGCCAGCCCAAGCUAAUGGCUGGGGCCAGUUUUUCCAAGGUGCGCAUUCAGAUCUGAAGGUGCCUCUCCCCCCUUCUUCUCUCUUCCUUCCUCUUGGAGAGAUACCUGAGCCAGCAGGUCAACUCAGGUUACCUCAACAGGUACACGACCCCAGGGGCAUGAAUGCCAGCGAGGGAGAGCAGGCUCCCUGAGCCAAAAAACGGGAUCCUAAGGGAUCCUGAAGUCUGGGGACUUUGCAGAAGGAACAAGCACAUCCUAUUCCCCCAAAUUCUUCAGGCAUCAGAGAUCUCCAUGCCUCUCGCCCCUCCCCUGCCCCUUGUUCCCUCGGUCCUUAAGGCUCUCUUGCUGCCUGCUGUGGGUAGAGAAGAGGCGGGGUCACUGCAUAGACCCAGUGGGGCUGCACUGCCCCUUCAGACACCAGCUCCUGCCUGAGGCACGAAGCCAGGCAAUGGCCAGGAGCUUGGCUGGGGGUUCUGCGAGCAGAGGAGACAGUGGGGACAGAGGAGGGGGCAGCUGGUGGACCUCUGGCCGCUGGCUGGGGUGAUUCAGGGCGUCUCUUCUUGGGAGGCUGCUUGUCCCAAGGCUGGUGGGGACUGGAGCAGGCCUCUCUCUUGUCCCCACAUACCCUGCCCCACCACCAGAAGUGCCAGCCUGCCCUGGGCACCCCCUGGCUCCACCCCCUCCCCACUUCCCCAGGCAGGCUGCCCAGGCCAGGAUGUGGAUGAGAACUGUCAACAGACACUCUUUAAAUAUUUACCCACACUUUCUCUGGGCGGUUUCCCCCAUCCCCAAGACAGGGUCCAUUCAAGUCAAUCCUAAUGAAUAACCUUAGUUCAUCAGCACCUUUCUCUGGCCAUUUUUUCCGCGGUGAUGUGGGCUGAGCACAGAGAGAAAAGGGAGAGUGCGAGAGGGCUGCAGAGAUGUGUGCUGUGUGCAUAGAAAUGAGCAAGAGGAAGAAUGAUUUUUCUGGUCCUCUCCCUGUACAGGGUGUGAGGUGGUGGCACACAGGGCAGCACUGAGGUACGCUGAGGAUAUACAGACACUGUACCUGCUACCUCCCACCAUGCCUUGUAGCACCCCUGUCACUCCACAGAUACUGUGCACACACAUGCACACCCAGGCGCUUAGGAAAACAAUACCUGGCGAAUACACACGCAGCCUUAGCUCUUUGCUCUUUGCGUCACGGACAAAUUUGCCACCUAUUUUCCAUCCACAUCCUGAGCCCUCCACAUCCUGAAGGAGGAAGGAGGCAGUAGGAAACCAGAUCUUUUCCUUCCCCAUCUGGAAGCCAGCUCUGGGCAGGGAGGGAGGAAUGGCAGUGCAGGGGCGGGUGGCGCUGAGAGAAUGAGCCUCCCCACCCCAUCCCUCUAUUAUCUUCAUAAUUGCUGGGGAAAAGGCCACCCUCAGCCAAAUUCUCCAAGGAGAUUCAUGGGUGCCCAAACAAGCGAUGCUUCCUCUAUUCUCUGAAUCCAGAGAACCCACCCCCAUCUGAGUCCGGGCUGCCCAGAGCAAGGACCCUGGGGCAGCGGGAGGGGAGGGUCAGAGGAAGGCUGUGGUCUCCCCGGGGCCCAGGAGAGUGGAGGACAGACAGGGGUGAGCACGCUCCAGCCUCGGUUCCAGCCCUGCCUUCGCUGAGCCUGCUCUGCAGCGCUGAGCUGAUCGGGCGGACUCUGGGCUUCCAGCAUCUGGAUGACCAGGGACUGUCAUAAAUACUUUCUCCUCCUGGCCUGGGAAGAGGAGGCUGGCAGGCCGGUCUGCUCUGGAGCCUGCACCUUAUCUUUUAGAGGGCGGAGGGGAUAUCUCUACAGUUUAUGGUCCGGCGAAAUCCCUGCCACACUGCUCUUCUUCCGGGUCUUUGUGUCUUGGAAUGCGACUGUCCUGAGUGUGCCGCCACAGCCGCCUGCUCCGAGAGCCCACCAGUCCCGAACCCCUGGCCGGACUUGGUUCCCCACCCCUUUUUUUGGGGGGGGGUGUCCCUCGCCUCUUCUUCCUUUCUUUCAUUUGAUUGUUUUGUUUUGUUUUUCUUUUUCUUUUACACAUAACUGGUUGAUUUCCCUUCGGGAGCCAGGAAAUAAAGAACCACAAGCAGCCAUCCUCUCUGGGAAGUCUCUGUCCCUCGCCUCGAGGCCUGCACCACCGCCUUUCUAGGUAUCACGGAUUUAUGUUCGUUUGUCUGGGUCAUUCUGCCUUUUUGUGUUAAUUACGCGCGCUGCCUGCUCCGUUCUUAUCUCCUCCGCAAAGCGAUUAUUUUCGACACCCGCCCUUCCUCGCCUCCCUCGCGAACCUGCUGUCAGAGCCAGGGCCCAUCUCCCGCCACCGCUCACGAUUUAUUUACACCUCGCAGAGACACCAUGCAAAGGAGCCGCCGCGGUCUUCCCUCAUCCCCUCUUCAGGCGCAUUUCUGGGCCGGGAACACCUCCGCGCACGCCGACGCACGCUCCGAAGCCCCCCCCGCAACCACCUGCCCCAGGCUGCACCCUAACUCCUGGCUCUUCUUACCCUGCCGCCGGUCCCGCACCGCCUAUGCCGCCGCUGCCCGCUGGACUUUGGGGUGGGACUCUGCCUUCUCCCGGCGGUUUGCCCCCCGGUUUGUGGCCCAUCCCUCUCUCACGCGCGCCCUCCCCACCUCUCCCUCCCAGCCAGUGAGGUCCUGUUCUCCGUGGGCCAUAGACAAAACAUUCCUAUAAUCUGAUUUCAAAGGAAAGAGUGUCCACCUUAUUUAAACCAUAAAGCAAUUAAGCCCAGACGUCUAGCCAGCUCCGCGCUGCUGUUUUGUUCGGCCCCAUUCAGAAUCCAGCGCAAGGAGACAAACAGCGCCAUAAAAGUGGCAUUUCGGUGCUGCGGAAAUGUACCUAUCCCCUGCCUUUCCGAGUGGAACAACCUUUAGGGUUUUGUGAUUCUGACAAAGGCGCAGAGGAGAGGUGGGAGGGAGGAUUAGGGCAGGAGGGCGUUUGCUAGCCCCUUUCCCCCAGCUUUCGCUUCUUCUCCCCCAGAUGUGUGUUGUGUUGUGAUGAUUUUUUAACUCACCGAUUAUAAUAAAUAAAAAUGGAAUCCAAUCCUGA